rfam:Aspergillus brasiliensis CBS 101740 unplaced genomic scaffold ASPBRscaffold_4, whole genome shotgun sequence.
UUACAUGAUGAAUCUUGUUAUUCACACUGUUUGAUCCUGCACGCCAUGUGUUUGGAAAUGAACAUGUUUACAAAAAAUCUGAUUUAAUGAGGUUGGUA